rnacentral:rRNA from 1 species
GAUGAACGCUGGCGGCGUGCCUAAUACAUGCAAGUCGAGCGAACAGACGAGGAGUUUGCUCCUCUGACGUUAGCGGCGGACGGGUGAGUAACACGUGGCUAACCUACCUAUAAGACUGGGAUAACUUCGGGAAACCGGUGCUAAUACCGGAUAAUAUAUUGAACCGCAUGGUUCAAUAGUGAAAGUCGGUUUUUCUGUCACUGAUAGAUGGAUCCGCGCCGCUUUAGCUAGUUGGUAAGGUAACGGCUUACUAAGGCAACGAUGCGUAGCCGACCUCAGAGGAAGAUCGGCCACACUGGAACGAGGACACGGUCCAGACUCCUACGGGAGGCAGCAGUAGGGAAUCUUCCGCAAUGAGCGAAAGCCUGACGGAGCAACGCCGCGUGAGUGAUGAAGAUCUUCGGAUCGUAAAACUCUGUUAUUAGGGAAGAACAAAUGUGUAGGUAACAAUGCACGUCUUGACGGUACCUAAUCAGAAAGCCACGGCUAACUACGUG